CCUACGGGUGGCUGCAGUGGGGAAUAUUGGACAAUGGGCGAAAGCCUGAUCCAGCCAUGCCGCGUGUGUGAAGAAGGCCUUCGGGUUGUAAAGCACUUUCAGUGGGGAAGAAAGCCUUGGGGCUAAUACCCUCGAGGAAGGACAUCACCCACAGAAGAAGCACCGGCUAACUCCGUGCCAGCAGCCGCGGUAAUACGGAGGGUGCGAGCGUUAAUCGGAAUUACUGGGCGUAAAGCGCGCGUAGGCGGUCUGAUAAGCCGGUUGUGAAAGCCCCGGGCUCAACCUGGGAACGGCAUCCGGAACUGUCAGGCUAGAGUGCAGGAGAGGAGGGUAGAAUUCCCGGUGUAGCGGUGAAAUGCGUAGAGAUCGGGAGGAAUACCAGUGGCGAAGGCGGCCUUCUGGACUGACACUGACGCUGAGGUGCGAAAGCGUGGGUAGCAAACAGGAUUAGAUACCCGGGUAGUC
rnacentral:rRNA from 1 species